ACACUGGAAAUUUGGGAAGGGGAAAGAACACACCGACACAAAUUACGUGCACACAGGGAUGAACCCCACUCUUUUUCCUGCACCAUCAUCUAAGCCCAUCGGCUAUUUUUGGAUGGGAGCUGAAACAGAGCAAUGCGAAUGCAGCAAGGCAGAGCUAACCUGCAUCUGCAGCGCCUUUUCUUUCAGCGCCACCGACGAAUCCAGUUAACCAGUUAGAGGAAUGGCUCCUUAUGCUGCAGCAGCCCUUCUCCUUCCCUAAGAAGUUCCUGAUUUAGUCAGGCUGCAGAGCGCUCCUGAUUUAGACUACUCUGCUUUUUACAAUGCCACUGACAGCUUUCUUAUUUUUUUCCCGAAGGAAGGCAAAUGUAUAGUUCAUUUUCUGCAGUGAAGGUUCAAGAAUAAACUGAGGAGACGUGGCUGUUCCUUUGGAGUUUGAAAACCCCUUAUAUCAAAUACGUGUGGGUUUCUCAGUCAAGAACCCAGGCUGUCCCCAGGUGACACCCCUCGAAGAGUUAAUUCCUGAGAAGCAGCAGCUUUGGAAAGGUACGAGGAGGAAUGUCUUGUCCUCGGGAUGGGAGCAGCCAAUGGAGCCGGGUGCCGGUGAUGUAAUGCAGCAAACCUGGUGCAUCAUUGGCCCCGAAGAUAUUAGACUUGAUAUGAUUUUGGAGAGUUGGGUGAGAGGAGUUUUUGCAAGAAGAGCCUGUAAAUUUCCCUGCACCAAGGACACCUCACUGAAAUCCUCCAGUGCUCCUCAGCUGGGCAUGUCUGGCCAGGAGAAGUUUGCUCUGAUGAUAAUAAUUCUGCCUUGUGUCUUCUCGGUACUGUUUAGCUAUUCUGCACUCUGCUAUCUGGGAGGCAUUUCUCUGAAGUCAGCCUGUGCUGGAAUUACUUCUUCAGCCUGCCCAUGAAAUUGAAAUUAAUUUUCAAUAAGAAGCAGUUGUUUUUUCUCUGACUCACCUCUGAACUCUUAAUUGUUUCAGGCACCAACUUCCAUUCCCCCAGCUUCUAUUACCUUCCUAGGUUUUCAUCUGCCCAGUCUUAUUUCUUUAGCUGAUUACUUCAUGAGGAUAUGGCUGAUGAUGUCAUAAAUGAACCUCUCCAGUCUGGGCUUGCUCUGGAUGGAGCUGCUCACAGCCCCGCGGUGGCAGCCCAGGAGCACAGAACCUCUCGCUCUGAGCUCUGGGGAUGCAGUGUUUACAUGAGGCAGCAGCCCUCACUGCCACUGCUGCCCUGAGCAGUUCACCCCACCUGCAGCCACAUUCAGUCCCAGGAUCCUCUGACAUUCGCAUCCCUUUCAUCCCCCAUCAGUGAAGCAGUCUCAUACAGAGGCUCACACGCGUGGCUUGGUGCUGCUGUCACGUGCUGCACUUCCAAACAAGAGUAAGAAUCCCGAAUUUCCUUCAAAACAAUGGGAUGCAAAUCACUUGGCAGUAACUUUCUCAUAUUGAAGAGAGGGAGAAAGAGGGAGAAGGAAACAGACAGCCAUCCAGAUCUCUGGUAGUGUAAGCCUGCUGGCAUCCAGUAGCGAACCCAAAAGCUGUGCGGAUUUUCAAGUUGCAGUGUGUUAAUCUUGUUCAGCAUGUGGAACCGUCUCUCUAACUGAGAAGAUGAAUGCGGAUCAGCUUUAGGUGUACUUCUGUGUUUGCAUUUGAAGUUCAGUAAAUGCGAGGAAAAGAAAAAUAAAGAAAUAAAACAACAAAACAAACCAAAAACCAAAACAACAACAAAAAAUACCACUGCAGGAACAAAAAGAAACUGAGGCAAGUGUUGGCUUUGAAGUCGAUAACCUGAUAUGUCCUGCCUGAGUAUGCUCUGUCCAUAAAAACUGAAGAUAAAUAUUAUUCAGAUCACCUUGCAGAGGAAGAAAUUUGCAUGUAGGAAGACUUGAAGUACAAGGAUGGUGAAAUCUUAACUUUGUCUAAUCCAUUAGCCAACCUUUGGAUGGCUUCGUUAUGAGUAAGACAGCACUGCUGGAUGGUUUGUGCCUUAACCUGUUGUACUGACACAGGAGACGGAAACCAAGAGGCUGAGAUUGACUCAGCUUUGUUUGAAAAGCAACAGAUAGUUGUUUUCUGACCAGCCAGUCAGCAAGAAAAGCAAGAAGGAAACGCAUUUUACAACAAAAUCCAUACUUUGUGUCUAUCGCUGCUUCAUUUGUUCCCUGUACCCAUUAAAUAGCCCCUUCCUCUGCUCUUGUUUCUUUCCUUCACUGAUGGAUACAAGAAAGAAAACACUAACUUUUCCCAAAGGAAGUUUCUGAGGCCCCUGCACCAGAAUGCUGGCACCAUGCGGUGCCUCACACCCCCUAUUUCAACACCCCCAGAGGUCUGCACAUGCCACAUUGCCCUCCGGUUCUCAAAUCCAGCCAGGGGUAAUCCUUCCUAAGAAAUCCAGUAGAAGCAGUAAAACGCUAUCGCAUGGAUUCCGAGUGGCUGGUGCACAUCACACCUCCUGUGUUUUCCCUCACUCUGCUCCUGCUUUCACCUGCUUGGCAAUACCCACAGGUGUGGUCUGCAUGUGAGAUGAGCCAGGUUGAGAGGCAGGCUGUUAUCACUGCUCUCGCAGUGCAUGUGAUUUUUUUUUUAUGUGUUUCUACUUGUCAUUUUAUCGCUCGGUUAUUAUUUCACAGUGUUUUUUAUUGCACUUUUUACUACAGGAGUCUUGUGAGUAUUGGUGUUAGAUAUCAGGGAGCAAGCUUCAGCCGCUGCAGUCCGCCGGUGAAAACAGGCAAGAGGUGCCCAGCAGAAGCGGGGCUUUCUGCCUCUGGGGUCUGCAUGGUGCAGCGUAACCUCAAGACGCCUGGCUUAGUCUAUUCUAAAAGCUGUCUGCAGCGCUGCUCCACGUGGGCACAUCCUGCAGAAGUCCCAGGCGGAGUGAGCUGCGGGCAGGUUGGCUCUAUUAUCCAAAUCGGGUCACUCAUUCCUAAUUAUUUAUAACCUCUGUCUGCAGCGCAUUGCGCAGCAUGAUGAGUGCACUCUAACGGGAAACUUCUUGGACGUCCAGCUUGCCUGUUUUCUCUCACGAGGAAUCCCAAAGCAGAGCUCCCCUCGGGCUCAGCAGACCUGAGGGCACAUCGGCCUGGUGGCUGUGCUCCCUGCUGACCUCCCGCCAGCCUCAAGAAUAACAUUUGCAGGCUCCUUGUAAAGCUCCCGAUAAUGAGGGCUCCCUCAUUACAAAGUCUAAUUAUCAGAGUGCGAUUGCAGGGGACACAACCUUAACAUACAGGCUUUCGUGACCCUUUUCUUCACCCAGUUUAUCAGGAUGCUUCUCCACGUCGGACCUGGCGGCGUGCAGUGCCCAUCCUUGCUGAGCCUUUCCCGUCAGUCCCACACCAGCAGUCAGUUGGAAUCAGUUUGAUGAACCGGAGGGUCAGCAGGAGAGAAACAAGGCGUAUUAGUCUUUAAGCUCCUUAGAUAAAGUGUCCCAAUGAACUCUGGCAAAAAGAGGAAUCAGGGUGGGACCCUGCGGUUAGGGGAUGGGAAUUAAUGGCCGUUUGCUGUUUUUAUUUUAAGGAAAUCAAUGGACUUUGCUGGAGACCGGGUGAUAGAACACACAGCUGGUGGAAUGGACAGCCAAAGAUCACUAUUUUCCUUUUAAGCAAAUCAAUGUGUUAAUUGGGAUUCUGGUGGGAUUCUGAAGCUGCUAAUGGAGGUGGGGGCCAGUGGAGGAUCAUUAGUCUUUAUUGUAAGCAGUACAGUUAGUUAAUUGGGGUGUGAUUGUGUUGUUGAAAGAGAGAACAGACAAAGAAUGAAAAGUGAUUUUUAAAAGCUGUCACUUUAAGCUCUCUCUAAUGAAAUGGACUUAUUAAGAAAGCUAAGGAAAGAUAUAAUUUGUUUCUCCUUUAGUUCUUUCAACUUGUGGAGAUCUUCAUUUUGAUGAGACCAUUCUCUUUUGUAUGCCAGGUUUUCCAGCUUUCUAACCCGGCUUAGAAAGAAAUGAUGCAAUCCUUGGAAAGUUACUAUUGAUUUGAGCCUCAUGAAGUUGGUGGCCAAGCGUCAUCGGGUCAGAUGAGAUCAGGUCUUCCCCAGACACCCAUAUGACUGUAGACACAGCUCCAUCUCCUACUGCAACUUGGAAUUCUUUUAUGGGUAAAGAUGCAGAGUUUCACAGAGAUGCUAGGAAAAAUCUAGAAAAAUCUCGAUUUCUUGUGAGCUCAUCCGUUUGUACGUGACUGAGAAGUUCUGAGCCCACCUGCGAUCAGGCAGUGGGUCACUCAGCUGCACGGCAUGAAGACUGAGCAGGUUCAUCACAGCCCUCAGCCUGCCCUCGAGCCCAGCAGCCAGGACUGCUUUAUUCUCAGUGUAAUAAAACCAGAUUCGCACUGAAAGAGAGAGAUGAAGUUUCCCUUGGAGACCAGGCGGAGACCAGGUGGCGGAGUGGAUCCUUCUGUGGUUGUACUGAAGAGUUUCUUAUGAAAGGGAAGGAGCUGUUUGCAGAACUGCCCUGGAAAAUGGUGGUUUAACCUCUUAGGGCACAUUCAGAAAGAAGUAUAUAUAUUUUUUUCUUCUGUUUGUUUAAUGAAAAAGUAAAUGAAAAAUAAAGUUAGAAGUGAAUCAUUUAGAGUGAGUAAAAUAUGUCACUUAGUUUGAAGUAGAAAGUAUCCCCUCACUUGUCAGCAUUCAGAAAACAAAUGCGGUACAUUUCAGAAUGGUGCACUGUUUCAUGUACAAAUGGUAGAAGAGAACGCUUUGAUUUGCUUAAAUUUUAAGAACGGAACGACUUGUUAAGUUGAACAUGAACUCAUAAAAUGUUUCAGUUGACCCAAAUCUGUUUUCUUCAGAGCAUG